AACUCCAAAUUUAUCAUGUUUUAUAACUUAGUAGCUUUUAUAACUCCUUUUUAAUAAUGAAAUCAUGGUAGGCUCUGUCUGCACAUAAAAAUGGGCAUAUUUGAACUUGAUCUUUUUGCCAUAGAGGACCACCACCAUUUUACUCCCCUAAAUACAUAAUUUAUUCCUGACAUCUAAAAUACACAUCUAGUAUUAUGCACAAUAUUGUGUUAUAUAUUAUUACACCUCGCUGAUAUAAUUUGAAGGCAACCUAUACUUAGCUUCGCAACUAAAUCAAUCUUAAUAAGUAUUUGUCUAAGUAAUAUUAACUAAGUAUUGGGGAAAAAAGCCCUGCAAAUGUGUUCAUGAAGCAUAGAUUUAAAUAACUGUAAUUUAAGCUUGUUCUAAAGAUUUAUGACCAAUAGCAAGUAAAAGGAAUUAUGUAUUUCUUUGUACAUCUAAUUUUACAGUGGAAUAAACAUAAUGAAUAAAAUCCACUGAAUGACUUGAAACAAUAAGAGCUUCGGGAGCUUGCGAAUUAAAUUACUUAUUUGUUUCUCUGUCUCUGUAGAUUCUACAGUUUUAAUUCCUAGUGGCCCAAACUGAGUAAGGCAGAUUCAUGUGAUUAUUUUUCUGUCUCUUCGUUUAGGACAGUUUGAAAAGGAGCCCAAAUGCCACAAGAUUGUAUUUUGCUCAUCAAUGCCACAGCUUUGAUGGCACCUAAAAACUGCUCUCCACUGAAGGACCCUGAAGCCUGAAAUCCUGAGCCAAGUAUUCUGUCACUGUUCUACAAAACAAUAAAUAAUGAAGUAAAUUGAAGAUGUAUGAAUUGUGCCAGCUUGACAGAAAAUGGAGCCGAUGUUCUUGGAGGUAUUACAGCAGUAUUUCCUAAUGAGCAGCCAGAGCCUCUCUCUAGCAUCUCAGAAAACCAAACAGGAAUGCAGGAUAAGAAAGUGGAAGUAAAGACAAAGGGAAUAUUUAUUUGGGAUUAACUUGUAGUUACUUGAGCUGAUAUACCUAUACUAAAGGAACAAAGGAAAUGAUGGAUCUUGUAACCAUCAGGCUUAUUGUAUAAACAUCAUUCUCUUUCAUUCCACGUUGGGAAAAACAAACCCUUUCUCCAAAUUUUACUUUAUAUAUAAAAUGUGUUAAUAAAACCAAAUGUGUUUUAACAAAUGUGUAUUAAUAAAAACUAGUGUAUUUAAUAAAACUAAAAAUAGAUGAUAAUAUUUGU